rnacentral:tRNA from 1 species
GGCGAAUGUAGCCAAGUGRAUCAAGGCAGU